rnacentral:rRNA from 1 species
CCAGACAGCCAGGAUGUUGGCUUAGAAGCAGCCAUCAUUUAAAGAAAGCGUAAUAGCUCACUGGUCGAGUCGGCCUGCGCGGAAGAUGUAACGGGGCUAAACCAUGCACCGAAGCUGCGGCAGCGACGCUUAUGCGUUGUUGGGUAGGGGAGCGUUCUGUAAGCCUGCGAAGGUGGCCUGUGAGGGUUGCUGGAGGUAUCAGAAGUGCGAAUGCUGACAUAAGUAACGAUAAAGCGGGUGAAAAGCCCGCUCGCCGGAAGACCAAGGGUUCCUGUCCAACGUUAAUCGGGGCAGG